AUGUUCAUUUCUGGUCCUGCACAAAAGAGCCACAUUUCCUUUUGGAACUGGGACCAGGAGACAGAGCAGCAGGCACUGGAAAUUAAUGCUGCUCCUGGCCUGCUGGGAGGUCAGCGUCUGCUCCAGCUUGCCACUCCACACACCUCUGUCUCCGCCGCGCCACCCGCCACGAUUCCAACACACGGGAGCUCGGGAGUGUCAUGUAAAGUAAGAAAUAUAGCCACGGUGACCUUUCCUCCAGGGGAGGCAGGGAGAGAAAGCCUUCGGUUUGGAGGACGAGAGCCAACACUACUUCCAGGAAGAGUCUUGUGGGCUGCGUUUGCUUCUGGGGCUCAGCCGAGGGGGCCCCCCCGGGUGUGGACUGGGCACAGGGAUGUGGGUGUGCAGAGGUUUGGGACAAACAUGGAAGGUGUGGGUGUCGUGGGGAGAUGGGGCGGCCAAGGGCUGUUGGAGGGCAUGUGGACAGAGGAGUGGUGGGGCUGGGACUCCCCAGGGCUGGAAGCUGAAAACCCCGGACCCCGCUGGGGGAGGGGCAUGAGGGAACCGAGGCCUCCCCACUCUCUGCUGGCGCCAGCGUCCUAUGGUAGGAGUCACUCAGCUCACUCAGGCCACCAACGGCCACAGAGACACACGGAAUCUGUAACAGCUCAAGGGAUGUCGGAUGCAGAACCCUAAUGAGGAGAAUGCUAGACUGGGACUGAGGAACCCUGAGUUCAAAUUCCGACACGGCGGUUCCAUGCGCCAGGGAUUUCCCUCGUACAGCAGAAUAGUUGAGGCUCAGAGAGGGCACCUGUCUUGUAUGACAUCACACAGCCUAGGUGGCGGCAAAGGAGAUUUGAACUCCGAGAGACUUUGAGGUUAAGUGACACUCAUAGGGAUGAGGCGCAUCAAAAGAGCCCUCACCCUCAAGGGCCUCUGCACCCUGACACCUCUGGCACCUCUUUUGGUGGAGAGGAGAGCCUGAAUUUCUCACCUUCUCUUGCUCUGACUGCCGGGGGUUCCCACUAUGGUAAAGAACAGCCCUGGGAACUUUUAAAAACAACCUUACAGACAUAUAUAUUUACGUAGCAUAACAUUCAGCCAUUUCAGAUGUGCAACUCCAGGCUUUCAGUAACUUCACUACAACAGGUGGUGUGGCCUCACCACGAAUGAGUUUUAGAACAUCUGAGACAUUUUUGCAGCUUCAUAAACAUUUUAGAAUCCGCUUGUCAAUUUCCAUAAAAAAAAAAAAGACAAAAAAAGACCUGCUGGAAUUUUGAUAAGAAUUGCACUGAAUCUAACCAGUGGUUUGGGAAAACCACUAAUUUAAUAAUAAAGAGUCUUCCCGUCAGUGAACA
rnacentral:lncRNA from 12 species